rnacentral:ncRNA from 1 species
AAAAAAUCAGUGAUGAAGAGAGUAGUUUAUCGCAAUUCAAUUAGCGAACUGGGGAUGGUGGGAGCCUAGUAUGAAUCGAUAAAUGAAGCGCACUUCUGAGAUGCUAAUUCGAAUACGUAUUAAAGUAGAGUUAGUCGGGAGCUCCCGUUAUAAGGUAAAGUGGUCGGUAAUUUGAACAAGUAGAGUGGUACCGCGGGUUUAGCUCGUCUCUUAU